AUAAAAAAGUAGAGGCCCGAAAAGAGCCCAAUACCCAAAGGAAUCCACCCAAGCCGAUGGUGGUUUUAGCCACGGGUCUCAGUCUCACUCCCAGAUUCUACUCCCGCUCCUCCAUCGUCGUCGCCGCGAGUUUGCUCCUCUCGGCGGCGCCCUCCUCGUCGUCCCCGCGCGCUCGUGCCGCUGCUCCGGCCAGCGGGUACUCCCCGUGGCGAGGCAGGUGAGCGGGGCUCUUCGAGUUCACGAGGUGUCGUUUUUUUUUUUCGGGGGGAUUUCUCCAGGAGGAUUAGUAGAGAUCAGGUGUGUCCUCCUUUGGAUCGCUUUUAUCUGUUCGAGCGAUUGCUUGGUCCGGUAGCGAUUCGGGUGUGAGACUGAGCCAUCUGCGCCUCUGUUACUGUUUCUGUUUUUUCCUUUAAUGGGGAUGGUUUUCUGAAAAUUAGGAUGGCACCCAGCGGUAUGAGAUUGUUGUGGAUUGUUUGAUUUCCUGGUGGUUGGUGAAGUCAGAAAUUGAGCAGU
rnacentral:sRNA from 1 species